UACGAAGGGGGCUAGCGUUGCUCGGAAUCACUGGGCGUAAAGCGCACGUAGGCCGAUUGUUAAGUCAGGGGUGAAAUCCUGGAGCUCAACUCCAGAACUGCCUUUGAUACUGAGGAUCUUGAGUUCGGGAGAGGUGAGUGGAACUGGCGAGUGUAGAGGUGAAAUUCGUAGAUAUUCGCAAGAACACCAGUGGCGAAGGCGGCUCACUGGCCCGAUACUGACGCUGAGGCACGAAAGUGUGGGGAGCAAACAGGG
rnacentral:rRNA from 1 species